rnacentral:tRNA from 1 species
ACGUUCUACUUAAACUACUUCCU